AAUAAAUAAAUAAAUAAAUAAAAAUAUUAAAAAAAAUAAUGUUCAUUGACCCCAACCACAUUAUCUCAUUCAGGAGCCAGGCUUAACAGGACAACUGUUGGAUGUGCAGAUUUAGUCCAGGUAAGGGAACCCUUCCCAUCUGCUGUGGUUGGCAGGAUCCAACCUAGCCAUCUGGAAAACUCUGAUAAAACAAAGAUGCCACUUGGUUUCAUAGCGUAUGCCAAACACCUGUGUCUGUUUUUAGCCAUGAAGUUAUUGAAAAUUGGCUUUAGAUAGUGCUAAUGACAAAUUAGUCUGAAAUCAGUCCCUGUACCCCACAGCCACCAUGUCUUGAGGGAUGUGCAAUGUUGGUGAGACUUUCCUUUGGUUUGUUCAGUUGACUGUAGUGGGUAGCUGUUCUGUCUAUGACCUUGAAGCACCACCCCUAGAGAUGUAGCAGGUAACUGUUGCACCUGCCUAUGACCUUGAAGUCCAUGCCCCUGGGGCGUGGCCUCUGGGGACCCUAAAAACCUGAGAUGCACGUAUGGAUGCACUCUUUUCCCUCCCUCGUGGUUUUGGAUAUGGGACUGAACACCAGAUAUGGCGGCCAGAACACCGUUCCAGAACCUGAAACUAUUCUGUUCUGUGCAGUGAGUUUUCCCCCUAAUACAUCCCCUUGCCCUUUACGCAGACUCUGUGGAUUUCUCUCUAUAGUUGACUGUGCUCUUGGCUCUACUCUGUGUCUCACUCCCUUUAUCUGGCAUCUGAUACCUUGUUGCUGCAAAUAGGUUUUCUGGAGUUUCCCAAGCAGGUUUGAUGAUACCCAGUGUUGCUAAAUAAUUUUUCCUUUUUUGUCCAUUGAGUCCAUAAAUCCUUCUACUUCCUUGGAACAUCAUCCCUUGACUCUGAAGGAAAACAGCUGACUGAGCCAAGUCAUGGGACAAGUUAGACGGCUUAUGUAUUAAUUUGUCUAUUGCCCCAAAGGACAGAUCUUUGAAUCCAUAGGAUGUUGUAGGGACAAGUGACAAUCUCUGCAUUUGAAGGUGUAUAUAUUUUUAUCCCAUUGUCCUUAUUGCAGUUUGUAACUAUGUAAUUGCCUGGUAACGGAUUGAUUUCUAUUUUAUUUUCAAUUAGAUGAUGAAGACUAAGAAAACAAGAUCUGAGUCUGUUAGCAUCUCUGACUAAAACACAAUGACUAUUUCUAGGAACACUGGUGGCUCAUACUCUUGUGUAGGGGAAUAAAUGAACGAGUGAAAAAAAUUAAUCAAAGCAAAACAUUUUUCUUACAAACUUUGAAGUACAAAAGUGAAAAAUAAAACAGCAGUAUCAAAAACCACAGAUGUGACUGUCUCAGGGAAAUUAAAGAUGAUUGUAAGGAGUCACAGGAUGAUCGGUGCUUUGUUCAGAAAUGCAAUACUAUAUACAGAUUUCUUUACAUUCAAAAGGAAGAGGUUUCAUUGGGGCUGGCAGGUAAGUCUCAAGAAAGCAAGCCCCGAUUACUGAAUACCUUAUGUUGGCAGGGAACCACCCCUCAGAUGAGAAAAAUCAAUUGUUACCAUUCUUUCCCACUUCUGUGACUCCUGCUCUGGGAAGAUGAACAGUUUGGGAGCAGAAACCCCCAGCCUGAGCCCCAUGGCUCUUCUUAUCAUCCACCCCUCUCACGUCUACCCUCUCUUACACAGGCUUCUCUCUAAGGCCUGCUCCCUGCUUGAGAUUCUUGCACACAAUUGGGAUGCUAUCUAUACAACUGGCUGGUUUGACAUCAGACUCGGUCUGUGCUCAGGGCAGCCCUGCUCGGCGUGCAUUUCUGUGAAAAACGAGUUCUUCUAGGUAGGAGUUCUGGGUACUCAAAUCGUAGGCCCUCAGAACCUGCCACUGUGCUUGCUCUGUCCUUCAUAGAUCAUUCAGAUGCUGCUGAACUGAAGCUGUGCAGGAAGAGCAGCUUAAAAAGAGAAAGUAAAAUAUUUAUAAAUAGUUAAAAUGUAAAACAGUGACCCAGGACUAGAAAUGUGCACAUUAAGUGUUAAUAGUGUCAGCAAGGCAACAAAUUCUAAAUGGCCAUGGCCUGUAACUCCCUAGAAUGGAAGACUCCUUCAGGAGGGCAAUUUCCCCUCAAAGCAUAGCUCAGGUGCUUUUUUGAUAUGGUUCUGCUGUUGCUAUGGAAAUUGUCUCUGUAGGAAUGUGCACAAAUGUAGGAUAGAUUGUUAGCAGUAUGAAUAAGGAGGUGUGGGCAGGGGGCAGGCAUGUUGACACUUGUCAGUCUCCAGCUUUGGUCCUGAAGAGACCGGCACAGAGUGGAGCAAGGGUGAGGGGUAGGUACCACCAUGGAUAGCUCAGGUCUGAGAGACCCCAGGACCUGGGCUCUCCAGAUCUACACUCUGCUACCUAGAGUGAUCUGUUAUGGUUGUUAUCUCAAUGUCCUCAUGAAUAGCAUGUUCUUUCACUGUCAAUGUCGUUGAUUUAAUUGCUCAAAGAGUCCCACGGUCACUGUAGAAUGUAAUUUUCCCCCACAAAAUGAAAAAGCAAAAAACCAAAAAACACAUUGAAGCAACCCUAUAGACCCUUCUUGAUUUCCCACUCUCCAACACACACACACACACACACACAUACACACACACACACACACAGAGAGAGAGAGAGAGAGAGAGAGAGAGAGAGAGAGAGAGAGAGAGAGCCAUUGCUUCCUUCCCAUAAACUCCUCCCUCUCAUCCCAGUCCCAGCUUCACAGCUGCGUUUCUGCACAGCCAGGAGAAGGAAACACGUCAUCUUUUACAGUGUCACAAAGAGAAACUGAAGUUGUGUUGAGUCACGGCACGGGAGGUGAGCUAGGUUCACUCUCUAGGGAAAUGACUAGCUCUUACACGGUGGCCUUCCAGGUUGUACAUUGCAAACUUGUGCUUCAGGCAGAAAAGUAAAUGAGUGCCCCUAGUGAAUUCAAGGGGAGUGUCUCACUCACGGGUUCUUGCUAGAAGGACUCUAGAUGUGAGAAUGUGCUGAAAGGACACCGAGUCAUUGUCACGGGAUGGAGGGACAGGCAUAGAACUUGAACAGGUACGAAGAAGACUUGCUCAGACAGAUCACAGCUUUGAUUGAGCAUGUCCUGGAAGCUGGCUGGGGCACUGAUCCCACGACAGUUCCUCUGCCAUGAACCCAUCCCCCAAUGCUUGUGGCUGCCAUGAUCGCUACCAAUUGAUGGAGAAUCCAUGCCUCCUCCUCCUCCUUCUUUCUUAGUUAGCUUUUGGCUCUUGGUACGAGGUGUGGAUUGGACAGAUGGCCUUUAGGUACUUAAGCCCUAGCAGCAAGCAAGGCUGGAAGAGUGAAUAGCAGCCCCUCUGAGCUUCUAGAGUGCAGGUGACUAGCUGGCUUCCUGUUGCUGCUGGCGCCGUGAUGGAAUGCUCCCCUUCCACGUGAGCCAGGAGAAAUCCUUCCUCCUUCACAUCGCUUCUUUUCAGGUGCUUAGUCACAGCAAUGAGAAAAGUCACAAAAGCACAUAGGAAGGACUUCCACAUGUGCUCAGCCUAAAAACCAUUUGCAAUGUGAAAUCACUAAAUGGAGCUUCCAGGACAUCAAAAUAAUGAAGAUAACUGGAUUCGCAUACCUGAUACAAGAAAGAGCCAGGAUCUGAACUCAGGUCUGGAUGUUGCCAGAGUCCUUGCUUUUUCUGUCUCAGCAAAGUUAACUGCAGUGAACCAUAAACACUUUCAGAGAAGAUGACAUUUCUACUUAGUCUUGAAACAAGGGUUUGGAGGAAGAUUGGAGCUCAACAGUGGACAAGUAUUGGCCUAAUGCAGAGGCAGAUGAGCUGGCUAGAAAAAUCAGAGGACAAUAUAGGUGAGAGAGACAUGGAUAGCACUAUUUUUGUGACCUUCAAUAAUAUAACUCAUUGUAUAUGUGUGUGCAUGCAUGCGUGAAUGUAUAGGUGAGAGGUCGGCAUUGAACGUCUUCCUCGAUUGCUCUCUCCUACCUUUGUUGAGACAAGGUCUCUCGCUCAGCUAAGACUUGGUAUUUCUGUUAGACUGCCUGGCCAGCAAGCCCCGGAACUCCUCCUGUCUUCUUCUCCCAUGCUGGGAAUGCAAGCACAUGCUGCCACGCCUGACUUUUAUGUGAGGGGUGGAGAUAUGAUUUCAUGUCCUCAUGCGUGUGUGGCCAAGCCCUUUAUUCACUGAGCCAGCUCCCCAGAUUUUAAUCUUUAAUAGUGUCCAUGAGUGUGAUGGCUCACAGGUUGGUUCACUGCAGUCUUUCCUACUGUUUAACAAGUCAGAUGAGAAGUCCAAAACCUAAAGCAAAACAAAACAAAGCAAACACUCCUCGGUACCACACAGCCAGAUGAGCCUGGCCUUCAGGAAGACGAGUUUUCAAAUUCUGCAAGCAGUCCUGUCCUCAUGAAACACGAGCUCAAAGCUGGAGGCGAAGAGACCAAUUCCGGCUCUUUGUGAGGUGGAAGAAAAUAAGGGUUGAUAUAAGAAACUGGUGGCGGGGCCAAUUAAAAUGGGGGGAAAAUGACAUUUCACCCGGAGAUUAUUGAGCAGUGGAUUUUCAAUCUGGUUGUCUCCCUUAGUUGUCGCUGGCGACGGGGAGAUGGACACAUUACCUAGGCCUUAUUCACAGGUCUGCUUCUGAAACAUCUCCAAUGUAAAUGGAUGGAGCCACUUUCUCUAUUUCUGGUGAUUUCCCUGUGCAGAGCCUUGCUGUCUGCCAGGGAGGGCUGCUGGGAAGGGGAAGCUGGAGGAGUGAGGAUGCUUAAAUAAAAACAGUUCUAUUUUUGGCACGCUUAAAUGACAAUCCUGUCUAAGAAAUAUUUUUCCUACAAUGCCUUUUCCAUUCAGUGUCAUUGGAAGUGUUUUUAAUUUCAAAGAGAGGCUGUGGCAUGGGAUGUUAAUCAAUGAACUGCUGGCAUGCUUUUCUAUGAAUGUGGUUCUUUUAUAUAUAUAUAUAUUUACCAGUGACAAAGAUGAUUUCUUCAGCUCAGGCAAUGUUACCAUUCAUGCCUGGCUAAUAAAGGAAGAAAGAAAUGCCUGAGGAACUCACCCCGAUGGUGGAGGGGAGGAGGAGGGCC